rnacentral:rRNA from 1 species
AACGCGAAGAACCUUACCAAGGCUUGACAUACACCGGAAACGGCCAGAGAUGGUCGCCCCCUUGUGGUCGGUGUACAGGUGGUGCAUGGCUGUCGUCAGCUCGUGUCGUGAGAUGUUGGGUUAAGUCCCGCAACGAGCGCAACCCUUGUUCUGUGUUGCCAGCAUGCCCUUCGGGGUGAUGGGGACUCACAGGAGACUGCCGGGGUCAACUCGGAGGAAGGUGGGGACGACGUCAAGUCAUCAUGCCCCUUAUGUCUUGGGCUGCACACGUGCUACAAUGGCCGGUACAAAGAGCUGCGAAGCCGUGAGGUGGAGCGAAUCUCAAAAAGCCGGUCUCAGUUCGGAUUGGGGUCUGCAACUCGACCCCAUGAAGUCGGAGUUGCUAGUAAUCGCAGAUCAGCAUUGCUGCGGUGAAUACGUUCCCGGGCCUUGUACACACCG